GUGCACCAGCUGCGAAAAUUCCACAAUGCGCGAAAGCGUGAUGGAGUUAUCCCGAGUGUCACCUGCUGAGGGUGGCUUUUCUCCAGUCUUAACAGCUGGAUGAAUAAGGGGAGGGCAAGUCUGGUGUCAGCCGCCGCGGUAAUACCAGCUCCCCGAGUGGUUGGGACGAUUAUUGGGUCUGAAGCGUCCGUAGCCGGCCGGAAAAGUUCCCCGUUAAAUCUGGCAAUCCAAUCGUUGGGCUGCGGGGAAUACUCGUCGGCUUGGGGGCGAGGGAGGUCGGCGGUAGUCCCGGGGUAGGGGCCAAAUCCUAUAAUCCCGGGAGGAACACCAGUGGCGAAGGCGGCCGACUAAAACGCGCCCGACGGUGAGGGACGAAAGCUGGGGGAGCGAACGGGAUUAGAUAUGAAGUUGAGUUGGUACCAGCUUCACUAGAUACCCCUGUAGUCC
rnacentral:rRNA from 1 species